GCCUGAGCGGGGCGAAGCCAGAGGAAACUCUGGUGGAGGCUCGAAGCGAUACUGACGUGCAAAUCGUUCGUCUGACUUGGGUAUAGGGGCGAAAGACUAAUCGAACCAUCUGUGAGCUGGUUCCCUCCGAAGUUUCCCUCAGGAUAGCUGGAGCCCAUUACGAGUUCUAUCAGGUAAAGCCAAUGAUUAGAGGCAUUGGGGACGCAACGUCCUCGACCUAUUCUCAAACUUUAAAUAGGUAGGAUGGCUCGGCUG
rnacentral:ncRNA from 1 species